CCUACGGGGUGCAGCAGUGAGGAAUAUUGGUCAAUGGGCGAGAGCCUGAACCAGCCAAGUCGCGUGAGGGAGUACUGCCCUAUGGGUUGUAAACCUCUUUUGUCGGGGAGCAAAAGCCGGACGUGUCCGGCUGUGAGAGUACCCGAAGAAAAAGCAUCGGCUAACUCCGUGCCAGCAGCCGCGGUAAUACGGAGGAUGCGAGCGUUAUCCGGAUUUAUUGGGUUUAAAGGGUGCGCAGGCGGAUUUUUAAGUCAGCGGUCAAAUCGUGGGGCUCAACCCCAUCCAGCCGUUGAAACUGGGGGUCUAGAGAGUGCGAGAGGUAUGCGGAAUGCGUGGUGUAGCGGUGAAAUGCAUAGAUAUGACGCAGAACCCCGAUUGCGAAGGCAGCAUACCGGUGCACAACUGACGCUCAGGCACGAAAGCGUGGGUAUCGAACAGGAUUAGAUACCCCAGUAGUC
rnacentral:rRNA from 1 species